UCAAUAAGCGGAGGAAAAGAAACCAACAGGGAUUGCCCUAGUAACGGCGAGUGAAGCGGCAACAGCUCAAAUUUGAAAUCUGGCGCAAGCCCGAGUUGUAAUUUGUAGAGGAUGCUUCUGGGCAGCGGCCGGUCUAAGUUCCUUGGAACAGGACGUCACAGAGGGUGAGAAUCCCGUAUGUGACCGGCGCGCACCCUCCACGUAGCUCCUUCGACGAGUCGAGUUGUUUGGGAAUGCAGCUCUAAAUGGGAGGUAAAUUUCUUCUAAAGCUAAAUACCGGCCAGAGACCGAUAGCGCACAAGUAGAGUGAUCGAAAGAUGAAAAGCACUUUGGAAAGAGAGUUAAAAAGCACGUGAAAUUGUUGAAAGGGAAGCGCUUGCAACCAGACUCCGCGGCGGUGUUCCGCCGGUCUUCUGACCGGUCCACUCGCCGCCGCGGGGCCAACAUCGUCUGGGGCCGCCGGACAAGACUGGAGGAAUGUAGCUCCCUCGGGAGUGUUAUAGCCUUCAGUGAUGCGGCGCGUCCCGGGCGAGGUCCGCGCUUCGGCAAGGAUGUUGGCGUAAUGGUUGCCAGCGGCCCGUCUUGAAACACGGACCAAGGAGUCUAACAUCUAUGCGAGUGUUCGGGUGUCAAACCCCUACGCGUAAUGAAAGUGAACGGAGGUGGGAGCUUCGGCGCACCAUCGACCGAUCCUGAUGUCCUCGGAUGGAUUUGAGUAAGAGCAUAGCUGUUGGGACCCGAAAGAUGGUGAACUAUGCCUGAAUAGGGUGAAGCCAGAGGAAACUCUGGUGGAGGCUCGCAGCGGUUCUGACGUGCAAAUCGAUCGUC
rnacentral:rRNA from 1 species